GGGAGAUGUAGCUGGCUCUGUUUAAUUCUGUGAGGUCAAACCACACCUGGGAGGGUGUGUCUGGUUUCAAAGCCUACAUUGUAAGAGGAACAUAGGCACACUGAAAAUUGUUUGAUUUGGGCAAGAAGCAAUUUCGUCUGAAAAACCCACCGGGAGACCUAUUGCUGGAAUGAGAAUCCAGGGGAAGAAAAACACAGGGUAUCCUGGCCAUUGUUUCCAAAUCUCUGUGGGGCUGUAAUAAAGUGAGGACAUCUGGGAGGCUGGGGGGCCCAACUGCUGAGUAAACAGGGCUUUAUAAUCUCUCCUCCCAUGGGCUGGUUUACUAAAUAGAUCAAUAUUUGGUUUGUAGGCACGGAGAUUAGGAGGUGGAAAUGUCUUUUGAAAAAGCCCAAUCUCUUCCCAGGGCCCUGAGUGCACCUGAGAAUGCUGAAAAGAAAAGCCAAGUUCACGGACAAAAAAAGAAUCACCCAAGCUGCUUUCACCUGCCUGCGAUUUCCCAAGAAGCCAGUUUGUCUUUAAGAAGUGAGACCCAUUUGAGAAUGAGUGAUGUCUUUGGCUCUUUAGUCCAAUGCUUAGAGAAUUCCACUUUCGUCUUUCGCUCGGCCUCCCCCUGAGCUCCCCUUUCUCUGUCCCCAACUCCAUUUUAUUUAAUCUUUCUAAAUGGAUAUUGUAGCCUCAGGGACUAAAAGAAUGACACAGGAUAAACAGGAACUAAGCUCCUAAGCUUUUCCCCUACCUGCCAUCUUCCUCACCACGCAUGAGGAUUAGAAGCGUCACAAAGAAAGCAGUCUCGGAAGUUUGUCAAAUAGAGAUUUCUGGGUGAUGGUUUGGGAAAGGAUGAUUUAGAUCGUGCCUCUCCUGGGUCGGGAAAGUGACUGAAACACAUAACAGCAGAGAACUUGAAGUGCUGGUUUGAGCUUCAGGAGAUGUGAGUUCUAGCCCCAGUGCUGCCUGUGAUUUUCUCUGUGACCUGGGACAAGUCCCUUGUGGAUACGACAGGAUAUGCGGGCUACAAGGAUCUCUGAGGCUUCUCCCAGGUAGGCAAAGUGAAGUGUCAGACUAAGCUGGGCUCAAAAGUUUGUCCUGACACUAGUUAACAGCAAAGUCUUCAAAUCACAGGCAACUCUUAAGAGUUGCACUUGCUUCGCUGUAAAAAACGGGAGAAUUAAUGAAUCACUGUGAAGACUAAAUGAGAUAAUGGAU
rnacentral:lncRNA from 1 species